rnacentral:rRNA from 1 species
CCUACGGGAGGCAACAGUGAGGAAUAUUGGUCAAUGGACGGAAGUCUGAACCAGCCAUGCCGCGUGCAGGAAGACGGCUCUAUGAGUUGUAAACUGCUUUUGUACAAGGGUAAACCUGAAUACGUGUAUUCAGCUGAAAGUACUGUACGAAUAAGGAUCGGCUAACUCCGUGCCAGCAGCCGCGGUAAUACGGAGGAUCCAAGCGUUAUCCGGAUUUAUUGGGUUUAAAGGGUGCGUAGGCGGAUUGUUAAGUUAGAGGUGAAAUGUUCGGGCUUAACCCGGGAACUGCCGUUAAUACUGUUGUUCUAGAGAGUAGAUGCGGUAGGCGGAAUGUAUGGUGUAGCGGUGAAAUGCUUAGAGAUCAUACAGAACACCGAUUGCGAAGGCAGCUUACCAAUCUAUAUCUGACGUUGAGGCACGAAAGCGUGGGGAGCAAACAGGAUUAGAUACCCGAGUAGUC